rnacentral:rRNA from 1 species
UGGGGAAUAUUGCACAAUGGGCGCAAGCCUGAUGCAGCCAUGCCGCGUGUAUGAAGAAGGCCUUCGGGUUGUAAAGUACUUUCAGCGGGGAGGAAGGGAGUAAAGUUAAUACCUUUGCUCAUUGACGUUACCCGCAGAAGAAGCACCGGCUAACUCCGUGCCAGCAGCCGCGGUAAUACGGAGGGUGCAAGCGUUAAUCGGAAUUACUGGGCGUAAAGCGCACGCAGGCGGUUUGUUAAGUCAGAUGUGAAAUCCCCGGGCUGAAACUGGGAAGUGAAUCUGAUACUGGCAAGCUGGAGUCUCGUAGAGGGGGGUAGAAUUCCAGGUGUAGCGGUGAAAUGCGUAGAGAUCGGGAGGAAUACAGGUGGCGAAGGCGGCCCCCUGGACGAAGACUGACGCUCAGGUGCGAAAGCGUGGGGAGCAAACAGG